rnacentral:rRNA from 1 species
CCAGACUCCUACGGGAGGCAGCAGUGAGGAAUAUUGGUCAAUGGGCGAGAGCCUGAACCAGCCAAGUCGCGUGAAGGAUGAAGGAUCUAUGGUUUGUAAACUUCUUUUAUAUGGGAAUAAAGUGAGGAACGUGUUCCUUUUUGUAUGUACCAUAUGAAUAAGCAUCGGCUAACUCCGUGCCAGCAGCCGCGGUAAUACGGAGGAUGCGAGCGUUAUCCGGAUUUAUUGGGUUUAAAGGGUGCGCAGGCGGAAGCUCAAGUCAGCGGUAAAAUUGAGAGGCCCAACCUCUUCGAGCCGUUGAAACUGGCGGGCUGGAGUUGGAGAGAAGUACGCGGAAUGCGCGGUGUAGCGGUGAAAUGCUUAGAUAUCGCGCAGAACCCCGAUUGCGAAGGCAGCGUACCGGCUCCACACUGACGCUGAGGCACGAAAGCGUGGGUAUCGAACAGGAUUAGAUACCCCCGUAA